rnacentral:rRNA from 1 species
GAUGAACGCUAGCGGCAGGCCUAAUACAUGCAAGACGAACGGUAAGUGGUGUAGCAAUAUAUCACCAAGAGUGUCGUAAGGGUGCGUAACACGUAUGCAAUCUGCCCUCAACAGGAGGAUAGCUCCCCGAAAGGGGAAUUAACACUCCAUAAUACCACAAGAAGGCAUCUGAAGGUGGUUAAAACUACGGUGGUUGAGGAUGAGCAUGCGGAUGAUUAGCUAGUUGGCGGUGUAACGGACCACCAAGGCGAUGAUCAAUAGGGGAACUGA